rnacentral:rRNA from 1 species
AAGAAACGCUGUGCCGGAGGUCGCGGUAAGACAGGGGUCCCGAGGGGUGUGCGGAGUCACGAGGCGUAAAGGGUGCGUAGGUGGCUUGGAAAGUGUGAUGGGAAAUCUCCGGGCUCAACCCGGAAAAUGCAUGGAAUACGGCAGAGCGGGAGGUUUGGAGGGGGGACUGGAAUUCUCGGUGUAGCAGUGAAAUGCGUAGAUAUCGAGAGGAACACCAGUGGCGAAGGCGAGUCCCUGGACAACACCUGACACUGAGGCACGAAAGCCGGGGGAGCAAACAGGAUUAGAUACCCUAGUAGUC